CCAAACUAAUAACAAUAGUAGUUUAAAAUAUUAGAAACUAGCUGGCAUAAUAUUAAAUAUUAAAAUAUUUAUUAAAUUAUAUCUAUAAAUUUAAUUUUAUAAUUAAAAUAAUAAUAAUACUGUACAAGAAAAAAAAUUAAUUUUUAUAUAAAUUCUUCUUUAAUUUUUAUAAAUUUGUAAAACAUGAAAAACGAAUUUUCCCUUUUGAUGCUUUGUGCUGGUAUCAAUUUAUUGCAGAAAUUACUAAAAGCUCCAAGCUAAUAAAAUUACACUAGUGGGCUCCUGUUUAUAAUGAUAUAAUAUGACACUAUUAUUAUUUUUAUUUAUUGACAAGAAUAUCUGUCUUAAUAAAUUUAAAGUAUAGUAGUUUUGAAUGACUUAAUUUUUCUUUUAAUACUUUGAUGUAUUAUUCAAUGGAAAUAUAUAAAAUUCGUUUAAAUUUACAUAAAAGAAAUUUAAUAUGUAAUUUUAUUUAAUUAUAUAUUUUUAUUUAAACUUAAUAAUUUAUACUAUAUAAUCUGCAAGAUAAAUUUAUACUCUUCUUUCUUUCUGUUUUUUUCUUUCCUUAUUUUGUUCUUUCAUUUUCUAUUAAAUCAAGCACACAAAUCUUUGAUCUGAAAGCCUUAAAUGUAAAAGCUAUCUCUACCUGUAAUGCGCACUGUGUUCUUUUCUUUCCUCUUCCACCGCUGCUCCAACUUCUUCCUCUGUUCAGACAUAACUUAUUCUUGUCGCACAUUGUUGUAAAUCUUUGUCGCACACUGCUACUGCUACACGUCGCCGCCGGUAAAGAAAGAAACAUCCUCAAUACUCACAAGCUUUGCCUAUAUUAGAGGAUCUGGGCGUUGCACAGCUUGCUUGUGGUGCUGGUAUUGGUGGUUGGUGGGUUCUCCACCUCCGCAUGAAAUUGAGGAUACAGUGAAGCGAAAGGACCUAUUCAAAGCAUUAUGAUUCUUGAAAUCGACAAAAUUAAGGAUAAUCCACAUGAAACUGGUAAUGGAUUUUGGACGCUUGUUUGAAUGCUGAAGAUGUGAAGCUCGCAGGCAAUAUUUAUGCACUAAGAGCAGCCAUUUACCUCUGCAAUGAUGGUAAAGUUUUAAAUUUGCUCAAUUUUUUGAACUAAAUUUUGAAUGCGAAGAAUCCAGGUCGAUGUUGUUUAUAAUGAACGGGUUCUGAAGAGAAAAAUGAGAAGAGAGGGAAAGAAAGAGGAAAGAUUGGUGAAAUUGGGAAUCUGAAUUUGAGAGAGAAAAAGAGAACGAAUUAUUAAAUAAAAAAGAGACCGGUGGCGUCGAAAAUGUUGGGUGGUGCUACUGCUAGUGGACAAUUCUGCUGUGGAAGGAUUUGAAUGCAAAGGAAGAGAUCACGAAGAUGGGGAAGGCGCUGCUUUCGGAGAAAAACAUAAGGUAAUGAAAAAUUAAGAAGAGUGAAAAGAAGCAGGCUUACAGUUGUAUGGCCUUUUUAAGUGCUACAAUAGUAUCCAUAGGUGUGGAGAGAUCAAUGGCAAAAUCAAUGCCAUCCCCCAUUUCUGGACUUCUGUAGAAGUUGCUGAUUGGCUUUGUCAGUAGCAAUGAAUUUGGGUAAUAAAUUUUCUCCAUAUCGUAGCGAAGAAACACGGUAGUUAAGAUAUUCAUCUCUUCUACAAUCAUCUGUGCACAGACAGCACUUACAGAUAAUUGCAAAAGGGAAAGAAAAAGAAAGAUUUAUAUGUGAAAACUGACCUGAACGCCGUCGACAACGCAGCGAUCUCCAAUAUCAAAAGGGUGCAUGAUGAAGACAAAAAUGAUGGAUUCAAAGAUAGUUUUGCACAUGUUUUGAAAGAUGACUCCCAAAAUAACGAUUUGAGUGGCCACAAAGAGUACGAUCUUUACUGUGGCUAAACCCAUCAGCAAAAUGGUGACCACAACUAUAAUCACUAUCACAAUGGAACUUGCUAGCUUGUGAAGCUGUUGCACUGCUGUUUUUGUAUCAUUUAGUGAAUGAGCUAGCGCUUUUCUUUCGAAGUAUGCUCGGACCUGCAAAGUGUUAGAUUAAUUAAUUUGAUCAAAGAGUCACUAGUUGUUAAUUCUUUUCAGUUCUUGACAUUAGUAAUCUUUUUACCACCCAGUUCCGGAAAGCAGACUUUGAUAUUCUACCCGUCUCAAGGGCUCCUUCAAAGAGUGGAAAAAUGGUGUGAAUUUCAACCCUCUUUAGAAAUCUCAUAAGAUCCUCCUCUUCGAUAUACCUUCAGUAAACAGCUCUGAUCUUGUUAAUUCAAUAAACCCUAGCUAAAGAAGUUGAUAAGGCAUAACAUGUAUGAAAAUGUUUUUAUUUUCUUCUUUAAUGAAUAUGUUUUUAUUU